ACUUAGACAGACUAUGAAGAGAUACAUAGGGUGAGAAACGGAGGCCUUCAGCCAACAGCUGGGAGUGAGUCCCGUCAGCAAUUCAAAAGACUGCAGCCCCAGCCAACAGUUUGAUGUAACCUCAGGAGAGACCCUGAGCCAGAACCACCUAGGCCAAUGAGCUAUACCUAGUGAUUCCAAAGUCCACAUAGAUUUACUCUGUUCUCACUGUGCAAAGUAACCGCUCUGAAGUCAAAAAAGCUGGGAUACAUGAAGACUGCCAUCCCUUGAGUCACUUGCCCUGUAGCUGCCACUGUUGGAAAAGGGCUUGAUUCCGUGUCCUUGUGCCCACUUUGGGAAGUCCUUGGAGUCAGAUGAUCAGGCCUCCACCACUCUGCCAAAAAGUCUGUUCAGAAGUUUCAAAUCAUUAGAGAAGAGGGAAGAAGGACAUUUGUACUGGGAGGAGUCGACUGGUCCCAAUCAGGAGAAAGUAGCUACAGAGUCAUGGGUGAGCUGGGUCCCCCAAAAAGGAGCUUUAAGGGAAGGGACUGAAUCAAGUCAGAGAUGUCCCCAAAGCAAGACCAAAGAACUGAGCAAGAGAAGCAUUUAUCAGAAACCAAAAUUCAGCUACAAGUGAGCAUCCAGAUGGAGGUAUUAUGAAGAGGAACUGAGACUGAGGGCAAAAAGUGCCAGCCAGAAUCCUGGAUAGGAGAGCAAGAACAAGGACCUCAUUUAAGAGACAACCUGCUUAAGGCAGAGUAAGCACAAAUGGGCACUCAACAUCAAUGAAGUAACAGCAAAGUCACAUAAUAAAAGCAUGGAAUUAAGCCAAGCUGAAGAUUCGGAUGCAAUAAAACAACCACCCAUUAUUA